UCAACAUGUGCCUGGUGGCCAGCGGAGCUGCGGAUGCGUAUUACGAGAUGGGCAUCCACUGCUGGGACAUGGCAGGAGCGGGCGUCAUUGUCACCGAGGCCGGCGGGGUGCUGAUGGACGUGACAGGGGGACCGUUCGAUUUGAUGUCGCGGAGAAUCAUUGCUGCGGGCAGUAAAACCUUAGCGGAGAGAAUAGCCAGAGAAAUCCUGGUCGUGCCCUUUCAAAGAGACGACGAAGACUGAGCCUCACCGCCUCGCACUCGGCCACGGUGGCUGCUCGCCCAGAUUUGCUGACGCUGAUGGUGUCACAAAAUUUAGGACAUCAUUUCAGUCCUGUAAUCUGAUUGGCUUAAAUUGUCUUGAUGUCCAGAUUUAAAAAUUGCCACUUGUUCCAUAUUUUACUAGGACUCGGUAGGCACGAAUAGUUGAAAUGUUGUUUCAUUGUUUUAAAAUUCUGUGUGUAAGAAUGUACCUUUCGGCAGCUGAUGAGACAAAGUAGUGAGCAUUCAGUUUCCGAGUCUGUAUGAGCCUCUGAAAUUUUGACUUGCCACUGAUGUACCUAAACAUUCUUAAUUACAAAGUCAACCUUUUGGAAAAGAAUUUAUAUUGAAAAUAAUUUUAGGUUGAAAAGCCGCAUUUCAUUGAGUUUGUAAGAAGUGUGAUGAGUACUGCCUGGGCCGGGCUUCGGUCUUUGCAGAGAGCCUUGCUUUGUGCAUCGGUGCGCAGCUAGCACCUGGCACAGCCCCUGUCAGGCGCUCGGCAGUCUAAAGUAAAGCAUUGCAACCACGAGGCUUCUGGAGGGAGCAGGUCCUGGUUAUAGCAGAUACAUAAGUGAAGAGCUCACCGUUCUGUGUUAUCACUUCAGGUUUUGAAGUGAGAAUUAUCUAGCCACCCUUUACAUUUCACAUUACCAUUCCUAUUAGCAUUUCAUUCCACACGUUCCCAUUGCCACCCCGCCAGGUGUGGGCAUUUCCGCAGCAAAUGUAUCGCCGGGACCCGCCUUCCAUGUGCCGUGGCUCCCUGUGCUCACAGAGAGCCGGGUGAGCGGCGGAGACUGGACGGGCAGAUAGAUGGAGUUGAUAAUGUUGAGCUGCUUGGUCCUUCUUAGACUCGUUUCAUUUCGUUUCGACCGGUUUCUAUUCAGCCUUUAAAUAUUCCUUAAGGUCUUUGGUUUAUGAAACUCAAAAAGAAAAUUGCUUCAGUUCAUAGAUGCUUUUAAAGAUUUAUUUAUUGUUUAUUGGCAUGUGAACAGACUAUUAAGUUUAGUUAUAGGCUUAUGCGAGCCUGGUGUUUGAGGGAACGGAAGUGUUCAGGGCAGGGCUAUUUUAUUGUGCGCGUCUCACAUUAAACUGUGUGGUACUAGACUUGAGUGUUAUUGUACAUUUGUGCUGUUGUCCACGUGCAGUAAAACAUCUCAUACUGUAUUCUUGCAAAUAAAUAUAUUUUAAUUAAGACAA